CCUCAAAUCAGGUAGGACUACCCGCUGAACUUAAGCAUAU
rnacentral:rRNA from 1 species